rnacentral:tRNA from 1 species
AGGAUAAUAGUUAAAUUAACAUUUGAUUUGCAUUCAAAAAAUAUUGAUUAAAUCAAUUUAUCUUA